GGGUGUGUAUGAUCCCAUGUAGCCCUGUCGCGCUAUGGUAGCCACCAUAGUCGCGCUGUUGGCGCUGUCACUUACCGUCCGUCCUUGUCUUUAAUCCCGUCGAACGCCUCGAGAUGCGUUUUCUUUGCCAUUAUCAGUGUAGCUGAGAAUAUUGUGCGUUUUUUUGGAAAUUGGCAUGAACGAAAGCACUUCGCUGAUCGUUAUACCGGUGUCACGCGGGCAAUUGAUCGCGAUCACGACCGAUCGGGAUUGGGCUCGAUCCUGAUCAGGUGUACCUACACGGUCACUUUUAAUUGCGAUCUGCGCAUCGAUAUCUGGCUCCCAGAUCGCGAUUUGACUGAUGUCUGCGUCAAACUCGAUCCGGAUUAGUCUGGACCGAGCAGCAGCAAAUGAUUGAUGAUCGUGAUCAAGAAAUCCGGUCCGGGUCAACCUUGACUGCAAUCAAAACUGCCUGCGUGUCACCGGUAGUACUUGCAAUAGCUAUUCUGCCCGCGCAUGUGAUUGAAUUUUAAUAUAGUUGAUGCUAAAAAUCUAGGGCACGUGCACUCAAAGUAAUGAAAGUGUCCAUGCUUCUAUAAAAAAAGAGCCGAGCAGGAUCCUUAGACGCCAGGUGGUAAUAAGAAAUAUUUGCAACUGCUGGUUACAUCAGAUUGCUAGUGUUCAAUAUUUGCACAUACAAUGACAAGGAUACGUCUACUCUACAUGCUGCCCACCUACCAACAAAGCCACAUAUACCUGUACCCUCUAAACAAGGAAGCAUGACGUUUCAGUUAAUAAGGCAAGGACCAAUGUUAAUGGAGUGUGGAAAUUUUUUUUCUCACCAUGUCUCCUUUCUUGUUGAUUUCUCUUGUCAUAAAUGCUUGCAUUUUAGCUGUUCUCACUUUAUGUGUGCUUACUGGUAUGAAGUUUAUUUUGUGCCACUGAGAGCUGUUUUCACUGAAUUUCGCCCGUUUUAAGACAGUUGCUAAUAUUUUCCUGUGAUAGCCAGCCCGAAUGACAAGUAGGAAACCAUGCAGGACAUGUGGUUCUUUUUCAUUUGACACUGCAGUGAGCUUCGACAGCUUUUGGGAACCCGACAGCAGUGACUGCAAUAACGAUUUGUGUGCAGGAGGAUCACCAUUUGUUUUUGACUGCCUGCACGGGAAGGUAGGACGUAGUAUAUGAUGUCACAAACACAGGGUGGUACGCAUUCAAAGGUGUAAUACGGGUCUCGCUAAAGAAUGUUUAACCCUUUGAGGUGCAAAGCAUGAGUUGGCAGUAAGCAUUCCAUCUUCGUCGUCUCUGUGUACCCUGUCCUCUUCAUGAAAAAUUAAUGAAAAAUUUUGGCCGCUGUUCAGCCGCACAUUAAAAAACAUGCCCGACAAGCAAUUUUUGAUCGGCAAUGGGAAGGAUAUAAUUACAGAGCUCGUGCAGAAGUACAAGGAAUCGAUCGAAAAAAAAAAAAAAAAAAGAUCGGACACAGUGUCACUGACAAAGUACUGCAGAGAAGCACCCUUUUAGUGCGAGGAGCGAGGUAAGGAGGCACGAAGGUUGCCCUAGUGCUACCUUAACUCAAGAGAGCACCAAGGAAGGCCUCAGUGAGGGAACCUUGGUAAGAAGCGUUAUAGAAUACAUGGCAAGGCGUCCUGAAGCAGUUAUGGCCUCCUCGCUGAGGCAAGGAGCAUUUCAGAAUACGGGCCUUACUUCAACAUUAAAGGCUUGCUAAUCUGAAACACUGAAUCAGUUUUUAUUGAUAAAGUAAUCAAGGACUUUUAUUCGCCUUGGUUUCAUGGCAGUAUGUUAUUAAGAGGGAAAAGAAUGGUACAAAUUGCUUUUUUUAACUUUGCACCAAAAACAGUUCUUCAGUGUUCUCAAAACCAUGUGGCCUGAAUAGAAAUCGCCACGAGCUCAUAAAUUAUCUUGUUUUAGUGGUGUAACAAGUGAUGCACUCAUUCAGUUUACCACAUCAUUCAGUUUACCAUUAAUAUUGCCAUGCUUAUCUUUCACUGCAUGCAUUUCGGUCUUUCCUAUAGAGUUGCCUGGUAGCUGUUUCGAUGCCAUCACCUUUUUCACUGCUCUUUGAUAUCAUAAUUCCAUAUGUCACUGGGCUUAUACUUAUUGAUAGCUUUAAUAGCUAAGCAAAUUCUAUUUAUCUAUGCCCACCCACUUAUCUGUUGUUUCUUUAUCCAGUCUUUUGUGGUUCAAGAGAUGUUGCUUACUUCUUGCAUUGAUGCUUUACCUCCAACUUCGACUACAGAUUCAGAAAUCGGUCUAGUUGUGGUUUCCUCUAUGUCUUUUGUUUCUUCUUGUUCUAAGGUGUCGUAUUUGUUUUCUAGGGGAAUUCUAAAGUAUUCUGUUUUUUUCCUGGGUUGGCCUGUGCAUUAGUGGUUAUUUUUUUUUGUGUGUGUUCUUCAAACUGGGGGCAAGGAUUGCACUCACUAGCCUAUGAUCGCUGCAUUUUACGUAUCUAUACCCUGUAGCUAUCAGAUGAAUGAGAUCACUAAGACAUUUAAACACUUUUUUUUUUCAACGAUCGAGUGACUGGGACAAACUACCACCAGUCCACAAAGAGAAUGAGAACUAUGAAUCUUGAACUGUAAUACACCUGUAUGGUUCUUCCAUGUCGUACAUUUGUUUAUGAUGUUGGUGCAUGCGAAUGAUAUGUUUUUAUUGAUCAUUGUUUAUUCUUAUUGUGUAUUCGUUAGCCUUGUGCUUCAUGUGUUUAUUAAACCAACUAUUUUUU